CUCAGAUUUUUGUUCUUGUGUUAAAAGGGUUUAUUUUUUUAGUUUCUUGCAUUCUGAUCCCUGAAUCUCUGAAACUGUAUCACUAGAGAAAAUUCACAGAUUCAAUAUUUGCAAACCAAAUCACAAUGAGAAAACACAAAACUUUGGCAUUUCUUAUAUUACAUACAUAGAUGUUACACUGUUACAGAAAGUUCAAAGCUACAUGUGUCAAGACUUAGACUUGAUAAUUCCAAGAGGAUCAAACAAUACAAAACUACAUCUGAUUCUACAACAUAACAACAUUUCUCCAAGAAGCUCAAAAGUCUCUGCUAUUGAGUCCUCAUGGAGUAAAACAAGAAGACUUGCCUAAAAUUUUCCUGAGUUUUCUCGGUUAUAAGUCUCCAUGGAUGUGCUUCAGUUCUAAAGGAAGCUUCUUCGUUACUGCUUCAAAGUCGUCCUCUUCUUGUCUCUUUGUCUUCUAGAAGUUGCAUUAAGCUCAUAUCGUUCUUUCAACUUGUCGAAGGCCUAGACUCAGACAAUGAAAAAGAUGUGACAUUUUAGAAGUUGCAAAAAGAAUGUGCAUACUAAUGGCAAUGGUCAGAAAGAAAAGAUGAGAGCAGUGCUAAAUCAUGAAUUUCAACUUCUGUUUUUCACUUACACCUAAGAGUUUAAUGAGAAAACUAGCUGU
rnacentral:lncRNA from 1 species